CCUGGGACUACUCCGAGAGAAGAGAGGGAUGGAGAGAAAGAGAUGGAAUGAGGUUUUUGAAACCACUACCGCUAUGGGACCUGGGACUACUCCGAGAGAAGAGAGGGAUGGAGAGAAAGAGAUGGAAUGAGGUUUUUGAAACCACUACCGCUAUGGGACCUGGGACUACUCCGAGAGAAGAGAGGGAUGGAGAGAAAGAGAUGGAAUGAGGUUUUUGAAACCACUACCGCUAUGGGACCUGGGACUACUCCGAGAGAAGAGAGGGAUGGAGAGAAAGAGAUGGAAAGAGGUUUUUGAAACCACUACCGCUAUGGGACCUGGGACUACUCCGAGAGAAGAGAGGGAUGGAGAGAAAGAGAUGGAAAGAGGUUUUUGAAACCACUACCGCUAUGGGACCUGGGACUACUCCGAGAGAAGAGAGGGAUGGAGAGAAAGAGAUGGAAUGAGGUUUUUGAAACCACUACCGCUAUGGGACCUGGGACUACUCCGAGAGAAGAGAGGGAUGGAGAGAAAGAGAUGGAAAGAGGUUUUUGAAACCACUACCGCUAUGGGACCUGGGACUACUCCGAGAGAAGAGAGGGAUGGAGAGAAAGAGAUGGAAAGAGGUUUUUGAAACCACUACCGCUAUGGGACCUGGGACUACUCCGAGAGAAGAGAGGGAUGGAGAGAAAGAGAUGGAAAGAGGUUUUUGAAACCACUACCGCUAUGGGACCUGGGAC